rnacentral:rRNA from 1 species
AAUGGGCGCAAGCCUGAUGCAGCCAUGCCGCGUGUGUGAAGAAGGCCUUCGGGUUGUAAAGCACUUUCAGUCGUGAGGAAGGUAGUGUAGUUAAUAGCUGCAUUAUUUGACGUUAGCGACAGAAGAAGCACCGGCUAACUCCGUGCCAGCAGCCGCGGUAAUACGGAGGGUGCGAGCGUUAAUCGGAAUUACUGGGCGUAAAGCGCAUGCAGGUGGUUUGUUAAGUCAGAUGUGAAAGCCCGGGGCUCAACCUCGGAAUUGCAUUUGAAACUGGCAGACUAGAGUACUGUAGAGGGGGGUAGAAUUUCAGGUGUAGCGGUGAAAUGCGUAGAGAUCUGAAGGAAUACCGGUGGCGAAGGCGGCCCCCUGGACAGAUACUGACACUCAGAUGCGAAAGCGUGGGGAGCAAACAGGAUU